UCCUGAACAGGAUGGAUAGAGUAAUAUCAAUGUAGAGAUCAAGGAGGUCUAUUUUCACUGUAGUACUUGGUGGUUCAUAAUGUAGCUCGAUCGAGUAAACUAAUACCAUGGAAGUGUCCCUCCACUCAUGAAGGGAUUUUAGGGGCACU